rnacentral:rRNA from 1 species
AUUGAACGCUGGCGGCAUGCCUUACACAUGCAAGUCGAACGGUAACAGGUCUUCGGAUGCUGACGAGUGGCGAACGGGUGAGUAAUACAUCGGAACGUGCCCGAUCGUGGGGGAUAACGAAGCGAAAGCUUUGCUAAUACCGCAUAAGAUCUACGGAUGAAAGCAGGGGACCGCAAGGCCUUGCGCGAACGGAGCGGCCGAUGGCAGAUUAGGUAGUUGGUGGGAUAAAAGCUUACCAAGCCGACGAUCUGUAGCUGGUCUGAGAGGACGACCAGCCACACUGGGACUGAGACACGGCCCAGACUCCUACGGGAGUCAGCAGUGGGGAAUUUUGGACAAUGGGCGAAAGCCUGAUCCAGCCAUGCCGCGUGCAGGAUGAAGGCCUUCGGGUUGUAAACUGCUUUUGUACGGAACGAAAAGACUCUUUCUAAUAAAGAGGGUCCAUGACGGUACCGUAAGAAUAAGCACCGGCUAACUACGUGCCAGCCGCCGCCGUAAUAC